rnacentral:lncRNA from 1 species
GGACAGCGAGCCAAUUAAUGUUGCAACCGACCGCACAAAGUGCUGGAACCACAACCAGCAUUCGGAAGAGCUACCACGAGCCGCGGUGGUGCGACGGUGGAGAACGGCGGGGACGCCACGACAAUGUUGCAAUCGGCGUUACGAUUUGCUGGAACCGGCGUUUUGUUUUGCUGGAACGGGAGCCCAUGUUUGCUGCAAGAUCAAUGCAACGCUGCAACCAGCAUGGCAUUUUGCUGGAACCAUUGUCACGUUUUGCUGGAGGCAGACACAUCCCUGCAAUUUCCUAAAUUAAUAUUAUAUUAAAUAUAGUGAUAACAGAAAAUAAAUGCUUGUAUCUUUAAUGUUAUGAUAGUGAAGUAUAUAAAUUUACCCAUCUAUGAUCAUUGGAAUACCAACCGAAAAUACACGUUGACAUCUAGAUAUAUUGGAAUUCUAGUCAGGUUGCGCUAAUUGGAAGUGUGUCGUUGAAUUCCCUCACAAAUCAUUGUAAUCACUAAAUUCCUUGGAGUUUUAACCUUUGGCUGAUGUAUGGAUAGGGUCUAAAAUAUAUACAUGCGUGCAUGUUUUUCGAUGAUGUACAAGAUAUAUCGAACCAUGGAUAGGGUCUAAUUUGCAUAUGGAAGAUAAAUUUACAAGCGGUAGCAAUUAAAAACCGUAAACCAUAACAACAAUGACAAGAGACGUUACUUGCCAGGUCGCACGAUGAGAUGUUA